CAGCAGCCACGGUAAUACGGAGGGUGCAAGCGUUAAUCGGAAUUACUGGGCGUAAAGCGUGCGUAGGCGGUUCGUUAAGUCUGUUGUGAAAGCCCCGGGCUCAACCUGGGAAUGGCAAUGGAUACUGGCGAGCUAGAGUGUGUCAGAGGAUGGUGGAAUUCCCGGUGUAGCGGUGAAAUGCGUAGAGAUCGGGAGGAACAUCAGUGGCGAAGGCGGCCAUCUGGGACAACACUGACGCUGAGGCACGAAAGCGUGGGGAGCAAACAGGAUUAGAUACCCCGGUAGUCCCUGUCUCUUAUAA
rnacentral:rRNA from 1 species